rnacentral:tRNA from 1 species
GCCCUUAUAGUUUAAGUAAAAUUUUAAUUUUGUAAUUUAAAGAUGUUAUCUAGGGGCA